UUGCAGGCUGCAACCCGCCUGUAUGAAGUUGGAAUCGCUAGUAAUCGCGGANCUAGCAUGCCGCGGUGAAUACGUUCCCGGGCCUUGUACACACCGCCCGUCACACCAUGAGAGUCGGGAACACCCGAAGUCCGUAGCCUAACCGCAAGGGGGCGCGGCCGAAGGUGGGUUCGAUAAUUGGGGUGAAGUCGUAACAAGGUAAC
rnacentral:rRNA from 1 species